rnacentral:tRNA from 1 species
GUCGCCGUAGCUCAGCUGGUCAGAGCGCCGACCUGAUAAGUCGGAGGCCGGUGGUUCGAACCCACCCGGCGACA